CACAAAAAAUAUGAAAGAAUUAAUNGAGGUUAUAAUUAAAUUGUUAUAUUUAUAAUAAAUUUAAAUUUAUUAGGUGAAAUUUUAAGUUUAAUAAAUUAUAUAAAUAAGUUAUUGAAAUUAUGAAAUUUUAAUAAUAAACUAGGAUUAGAUACCCUAUUAUUUAAAAUGUAAAUUAAUAAUCUGGAAUAGUAUUAGUUAUGUUCUUGAAAUUUAAAAAAUUUGGCGGUAUUUUAGUCUAUUCAGAGGAACCUGUUUUAUAAAUGAUAAUCCACGUUGGACCUUACUUGAUUUUGUUUAGUAUGUAUACCGCCGUCAUCAGAAUGUCUUAAAAAAGAAAUAAUUUUCUAAAAUUUUUAAUAUAAAUUAUGUCAGGUCAAGGUGCAGCUUAUAAUUAAGUAAAAAUGGGUUACAAUAAAUAUAUUUUUGGAUAAAAAUUUGAAAUAAUUUUUUGAAAUUGGAUUUGAUAGUAAAAUAAAAAAGAAAAAUUAUUUGAUUUUAGCUCUAAAAUAUGCACAUAUCGCCCGUCGCUCUCGUUAUUAAGAUGAGA
rnacentral:rRNA from 1 species